rnacentral:rRNA from 1 species
GACGAACGCUGGCGGCGUGCUUAACACAUGCAAGUCGAACGAAGAGCGAUGGAAGCUUGCUUCUAUCAAUCUUAGUGGCGAACGGGUGAGUAACGCGUAAUCAACCUGCCCUUCAGAGGGGGACAACAGUUGGAAACGACUGCUAAUACCGCAUACGAUCUAAUCUCGGCAUCGAGGAUAGAUGAAAGGUGGCCUCUACAUGUAAGCUAUCACUGAAGGAGGGGAUUGCGUCUGAUUAGCUAGUUGGAGGGGUAACGGCCACCAAGGCGAUGAUCAGUAGCCGGUCUGAGAGGAUGAACGGCCACAUUGGGACUGAGACACGGCCCAGACUCCUACGGGAGGCAGCAGUGGGGAAUCUUCCGCAAUGGACGAAAGUCUGACGGAGCAACGCCGCGUGAGUGAUGACGGCCUUCGGGUUGUAAAGCUCUGUUAAUCGGGACGAAAGGCCUUCUUGCGAAUAGUGAGAAGGAUUGACGGUACCGGAAUAGAAAGCCACGGCUAACUACGUG